GGGGGACCAUCCUCCAAGGCUAAAUACUCCUGACUGACCGAUAGUGAACCAGUACCGUGAGGGAAAGGCGAAAAGAACCCCGGCGAGGGGAGUGAAAAAGAACCUGAAACCGUGUACGUACAAGCAGUGGGAGCACAGAGCAAUCUGUGUGACUGCGUACCUUUUGUAUAAUGGGUCAGCGACUUAUAUUCUGUAGCAAGGUUAACCGAAUAGGGGAGCCGAAGGGAAACCGAGUCUUAACUGGGCGUUAAGUUGCAGGGUAUAGACCCGAAACCCGGUGAUCUAGCCAUGGGCAGGUUGAAGGUUGGGUAACACUAACUGGAGGACCGAACCGACUAAUGUUGAAAAAUUAGCGGAUGACUUGUGGCUGGGGGUGAAAGGCCAAUCAAACCGGGAGAUAGCUGGUUCUCCCCGAAAGCUAUUUAGGUAGCGCCUCGUGAAUUCAUCUCCGGGGGUAGAGCACUGUUUCGGCAAGGGGGUCAUCCCGACUUACCAACCCGAUGCAAACUGCGAAUACCGGAGAAUGUUAUCACGGGAGACACACGGCGGGUGCUAACGUCCGUCGUGAAGAGGGAAACAACCCAGACCGCCAGCUAAGGUCCCAAAGUCAUGGUUAAGUGGGAAACGAUGUGGGAAGGCCCAGACAGCCAGGAUGUUGGCUUAGAAGCAGCCAUCAUUUAAAGAAAGCGUAAUAGCUCACUGGUCGAGUCGGCCUGCGCGGAAGAUGUAACGGGGCUAAACCAUGCACCGAAGCUGCGGCAGCGACGCUUAUGCGUUGUUGGGUAGGGGAGCGUUCUGUAAGCCUGCGAAGGUGUGCUGUGAGGCAUGCUGGAGGUAUCAGAAGUGCGAAUGCUGACAUAAGUAACGAUAAAGCGGGUGAAAAGCCCGCUCGCCGGAAGACCAAGGGUUCCUGUCCAACGUUAAUCGGGGCAGGGUGAGUCGACCCCUAAGGCGAGGCCGAAAGGCGUAGUCGAUGGGAAACAGGUUAAUAUUCCUGUACUUGGUGUUACUGCGAAGGGGGGACGGAGAAGGCUAUGUUGGCCGGGCGACGGUUGUCCCGGUUUAAGCGUGUAGGCUGGUUUUCCAGGCAAAUCCGGAAAAUCAAGGCUGAGGCGUGAUGACGAGGCACUACGGUGCUGAAGCAACAAAUGCCCUGCUUCCAGGAAAAGCCUCUAAGCAUCAGGUAACAUCAAAUCGUACCCCAAACCGACACAGGUGGUCAGGUAGAGAAUACCAAGGCGCUUGAGAGAACUCGGGUGAAGGAACUAGGCAAAAUGGUGCCGUAACUUCGGGAGAAGGCACGCUGAUAUGUAGGUGAAGUCCCUCGCGGAUGGAGCUGAAAUCAGUCGAAGAUACCAGCUGGCUGCAACUGUUUAUUAAAAACACAGCACUGUGCAAACACGAAAGUGGACGUAUACGGUGUGACGCCUGCCCGGUGCCGGAAGGUUAAUUGAUGGGGUUAGCGCAAGCGAAGCUCUUGAUCGAAGCCCCGGUAAACGGCGGCCGUAACUAUAACGGUCCUAAGGUAGCGAAAUUCCUUGUCGGGUAAGUUCCGACCUGCACGAAUGGCGUAAUGAUGGCCAGGCUGUCUCCACCCGAGACUCAGUGAAAUUGAACUCGCUGUGAAGAUGCAGUGUACCCGCGGCAAGACGGAAAGACCCCGUGAACCUUUACUAUAGCUUGACACUGAACAUUGAGCCUUGAUGUGUAGGAUAGGUGGGAGGCUUUGAAGUGUGGACGCCAGUCUGCAUGGAGCCGACCUUGAAAUACCACCCUUUAAUGUUUGAUGUUCUAACGUUGACCCGUAAUCCGGGUUGCGGACAGUGUCUGGUGGGUAGUUUGACUGGGGCGGUCUCCUCCUAAAGAGUAACGGAGGAGCACGAAGGUUGGCUAAUCCUGGUCGGACAUCAGGAGGUUAGUGCAAUGGCAUAAGCCAGCUUGACUGCGAGCGUGACGGCGCGAGCAGGUGCGAAAGCAGGUCAUAGUGAUCCGGUGGUUCUGAAUGGAAGGGCCAUCGCUCAACGGAUAAAAGGUACUCCGGGGAUAACAGGCUGAUACCGCCCAAGAGUUCAUAUCGACGGCGGUGUUUGGCACCUCGAUGUCGGCUCAUCACAUCCUGGGGCUGAAGUAGGUCCCAAGGGUAUGGCUGUUCGCCAUUUAAAGUGGUACGCGAGCUGGGUUUAGAACGUCGUGAGACAGUUCGGUCCCUAUCUGCCGUGGGCGCUGGAGAAUUGAGGGGGGCUGCUCCUAGUACGAGAGGACCGGAGUGGACGCAUCACUGGUGUUCGGGUUGUCAUGCCAAUGGCACUGCCCGGUAGCUAAAUGCGGAAGAGAUAAGUGCUGAAAGCAUCUAAGCACGAAACUUGCCCCGAGAUGAGUUCUCCCUGACUCCUUGAGAGUCCUGAAGGAACGUUGAAGACGACGACGUUGAUAGGCCGGGUGUGUAAGCGCAGCGAUGCGUUGAGCUAACCGGUACUAAUGAACCGUGAGGCUUAACCUU
rnacentral:rRNA from 1 species